rfam:Pediculus humanus corporis strain TSDA 1103172094892, whole genome shotgun sequence.
CAUUUCGGUCACUCACUCAACUUGGGUGUGUUACGUAAGUGAUUCGCCACAACCUCCUUGAGUGAGCGUCCGAGACA